rnacentral:rRNA from 1 species
AGUGAACGCUGGCGGUAGGCCUAACACAUGCAAGUCGAACGGCAGCACAGGAGAGCUUGCUCUCUGGGUGGCGAGUGGCGGACGGGUGAGGAGUACAUCGGAAUCUACUUUUUCGUGGGGGAUAACGUAGGGAAACUUACGCUAAUACCGCAUACGACCUACGGGUGAAAGCAGGGGACCUUCGGGCCUUGCGCGAUUGAAUGAGCCGAUGUCGGAUUAGCUAGUUGGCGGGGUAAAGGCCCACCAAGGCGACGAUCCGUAGCUGGUCUGGGAGGAUGAUCAGCCACACUGGAACUGAGACACGGUCCAGACUCCUACGGGAGGCAGCAGUGGGGAAUAUUGGACAAUGGGCGCAAGCCUGAUCCAGCCAUACCGCGUGGGUGAAGAAGGCCUUCGGGUUGUAAAGCCCUUUUGUUGGGAAAGAAAUCCAGCUGGCUAAUACCCGGUUGGGAUGACGGUACCCAAAGAUUAAGCACCGGCUAACUUCGUGCCAGCCGCCGCCGUAA